ACAAUAGCCCUUUUCUUCCAUCCCGAUCAACCUCUAGAUUUUGCAUAUUUUUUCUUCUUUCAUUCCUCUAUCUCAUUUUUCAUCCACCGACAUAGUUCACAAACUCAAUUCAAUUUAGAUAACCUAAAUAGGAAAAAUUAAGAAUUAGAAGAAAAAAGAUAUGAGUUUUAUUGCGUUCUUAAUAGAAAAAAUUAAGAACAAGAAGAAAAGAGAUAUGAGUUUUGUUGGAUUCUUAACUAUCACAGAUUGGAGAAAUAAGAGAAAGAAGAAAGAAGAAUAGUUAUGGAAAGAAGAAAGAAGAAUGGUUAUGGAAAGAAUGAAAGUUACAAAACCCUAUUCCUUUAGCGUGUGGCUCCCUUUUCCUUUUAGGUUCCCUUUUCCUUAAUAAGAUAAAGGGCUAAUAAAUGACAUUUAAAAUAGCCGAGGUGUUAGUUUUGUCCAAAAAGUGAAACAUGGGCCAUUAUUGUCCAUUAUUUUCCAGAAGAGCUACAAGGUGUCCUUUUCUUUAAAAAAUAAUCCCAGCAUAACUAAUCUCAUAUAACUUAUCUUAUUAUAACUUAUCCCGACAUAACUAAUCUCGGUAUAACUUGUUUUCAAACCAAACGACCCCGUUAUAGAUUUCAUCUUCAUUUUUGGGAAUGGAGAAACUUUUGGUAAAAAGCAUUUCCUUCUUUAAUGGGACUUACGUACAAAAAUUUGGAUUGGUCAGUCAGUGGGUUCAAUACCAAAAAAAAAAAAGAAUAUGCAACCAAACGUUUUCCAUUCCCUAAGCUUAAGGUGAAAAAUGCUGCGGUAAACUAUUUUCUUAUUGUUUUCCAUGUCACAUUAAGGGCCAAAAGAGAAGCUGUAGUGAUUUGCAGAUUGGACAACAUUUUGGUCAAUUACAAUGGAAGGCUUAUUUUUCCAUUUCUAUAUAAUCCAAGAUUUUGGGAAGAAAACAUAUCACAAAAUUACAAAUGAGAGGCUUAUUAUCUCCAUUGUCACAAUCAUAUACAACAUACCGGGCAUUCCAUGGUAAUAAUUCAUCAUUAGAAAAUGUUAAAUGAAUAUCUCGAGUAGUAUAAAUAAUACCUUUAAUUUGCUUCCUCUAACAUUCCUCACCAGCUUUCAAACACAAAAAUAUUAGUAUCACUAAAAAGAUUUAAUUACCAAAAAUGGGUUUGGCAUUGAAUUGGAAGUUUGCUUUUGCAGCUCUAAUAGUGUUGGGAAUGCAGGCUUAUCAAGCCACAUCUCGUGCUUUGUGUGAAACUUCAAUGGUCCAGAAACACGACCAGUGGAUGGCACGCUUUGGACAUGUGUACACAGAUGAUAUAGAGAAGGCAAAAAGAUUCAUAAUAUUCAAGGACAAUGUUGAGUACAUUGAUUCCGUAAACAAGGCUGGGAUCAAGCCUUACAAGUUGGAUAUCAAUGAAUUUGCUGAUUUGACAAAUGAGGAAUUCAGAGGUACUCACAACGGAUAUAGAUUGCCUUCCCAUCAGAAAUAGGAAACAACAUCAUUCAAAUACGAAAAUGUAACGGCUCCAGCUACCAUGGAUUGGAGAAAGAAGGGUGCUGUCGCUGGAAUUAAGGAUCAAGGGCAGUGUGGUAAGCUAAACCAAUAACUCAUUGAUCAUAAAACCACCUUUUAAAUUGUAAAAGCAAUACUAAAAGCUAACUGAUUUUAUUAUAAUGUAGGAUGUUGCUGGGUGUUUUCUGCUGUUGCAGCCACAGAAGGAAUUGACAAGAUAAAAACUGGUAAGUUGAUUUCUUUAUCCGAGCAGGAACUCGUGGACUGUGACACCAGUUCAGAUAUGGGAUGUGAGGGAGGUCUCAUGGAUGAAGCAUUUAAGUUUAUUAUCAAGAACCAAGGGCUUACUACUGAAUCCAAUUACCCAUACGAGGGAACAGAUGGCACUUGCAAAACUGGCAAGGAAUCCAAUCAUGCUGCAAAGAUUACUAGUAAUGAAGAUGUUCCACAGCUAAUAGUCUUCUCUAGUUAAAGCUGUAGCUAACCAACCUGUAUCUGUCGCAAUUGAUGCUAGUGGAUCAGAUUUUCAGUUCUAUUCAAGCGGUGUUUUUACUUGAGAAUGUGGAACUGAAUUAGAUCAUGGUGUUACAGCAGUUGGAUAUGGUGAAACUAGCGACGGGACGAAGUAUUGUUUAGUGAAGAACUCAUGGGGAACUAGCUGGGGUGAGAAUGGUUAUAUUAGAAUGCAAAGAAACGUUUUGCGGAAUUGUUAUGCAAGCUUCUUAUCCAACUUUUUAAGUUGAUUGAAAUUUGGUGCAAGUUUGCAAUUGACUCUUCUGAAAGAGCUAUUGUUGGUCACAAUGUGCAUAAUUUAUCUGGUGUGCCUAGUUUUCACUGUAUAUAUAGACUCUGUGUGUACAAUUGAAGUAUCAAACAAAAUCUUGUAUGUAAAAAGACUGGUCACAAUGUGCAUAAUUUGCUGAUUGUUUCUGACUAUGGUUCUUCCUCCCUAUGAUUUUUUUGCUGAUAUAAACUUACAUUGAUAAUGCAUUUUACUUAAAAUUUUACUUAAACUCAUUAAUUAAUGAACAUCAUGCUGAUUAAGGAAAAGAAUUUGGUGCAAUUCUUAACAUCAAACUUUCGAAAAAUUUCAUCAUUGCAUGACUGCAAAUAAUUACUGAAACAGAGUAUGAACCAAAAAUUUCUUGUAAGCAAUUAACGGACACUUGACUAACCACUGUAAGCAAGCAAAGGAAAUAACAUGAAGUUGAUUCAAAUCUACUCUUUUCAUUCUUUUUUGUUAUUCAUACAGUAAUACAUUCUUCAAAAUUAUCUAGUCUUUUUACGCUUUAAACUUCGUGUCAAGUCAUAAUCAAAUAAGCAAAUUUAAACGGGGCGAGUAUGAAAUAAGCAGUCAAGCACUGUAAACAAGGAAAAAAACAUGAAUUUCGAAUCAAAUAGACACUUCCAUUACUUCAUAUAGUACUAGUAUUAUUCUUAUUCCAGUAUGCAUAAGCUGGUGAAUGAAUGUGCAUUUUUACUACUACUCCUAGUUACAGAAGAUGAACAAAAUCCAACCGAGAAAAGAAUGGGUAUUGUACGUACAUGCAUGGAAACCAUCAAAGUAUUUUGCCCAUAUCGAUUACACAAAGUAAUACUCUACUCCCCAACACUAAAUCCAUAUUCAAGACUGAAUUGAGAUAAUUUUGCAGUGAUAUCAUGGAAAAUGACCUUUGCUUUGGUGAAACUCGACCCGUUUCAGUUUUUCUUGGGCCUUUUUGAAUUUCCCCGAGAAGUGGAUGAUGUACUUUUAGCCUUCUUGGGUUUUGGUGGUUCUGGGUCAGCAGCCGGAGUCGGGUCAGAAUCCAUUUUCACCUUGCCCCGGCGAGUUGAGCUAGCAGUGGAGGUUGUACCUUUAGCUUUCUUGGAUUUUGGCGGUUCUGGGUCAGCUGGAGGAGUCGGGUCAGAACCCAUUUUGGCUUUGCCCCGGCGGGUGAGAACACCAGAAGUCUGCACAUUGGGCCUUUCUUCAGAGAUGGUAGAUUUGGGUUGCUUGGAACCCAAAUUACUUUGGUGGUUGAUGAUCAGAAUGAGAAUCGAAUGUGGGAGUAAGAAUGGUGAGUGAUUGAGUAUCAGAAUUAGCACUCAGUUUGGCUUUUUGACUGAGAGUAAGCAUGGCGGGAAACUUCUUAUUUGCCUUUCUCUUUUUACCCAUGGCGAACAAAGCUUUCUUUCUUUCUCUAUUUCAGUAGAAGGGCGUUUAUGGUGAUUGCUAGAAGCAGCGCUUUGAAUUGAUAGUCUAUUAACUACUCAAGCCCUAUAGCCUUAUACAUAAGCCAGGCGGUUGAGAAACUAUUUUGGCGCGCAAUUCAUGUGCCCCAACUAUUAUAAUCUUUCUGAAGGAGGAA
rnacentral:lncRNA from 1 species